rnacentral:misc_RNA from 1 species
GAUGAAGAACGUAGCGAAAUGCGAUAAGUAAUGUGAAUUGCAGAAUUCAGUGAAUCAUCGAAUCUUUGAACGCACCUUGCACCCUUUGGCAUUCUGAAGGGUAUGCUCGUUUGAGUGUCAUUGUACUCUCACACUCCCGAUCUUUGCAUUGGGAGCAGUGGACUUGGGUUUGCUGCUUCACCGUCGCUUACCUCAAAUAGGUUAGUGCAACUCUUGGUUGGACAUAGUACGGCGUGAUAAGUGUCUUCGCCGGCGCCUCAUUCGAGGGUGGCCGAUCGGGAGCUCUGUGCUUCAAUCUGUCUUCGGACAACAUCUGACAACUUGACCUCAAAUCGAGUAGGACUACCCGCUGAACUUAAGCAUAUCAAUAAGCGGAGGA